GAUGAACGCUGGCGGCGUGCCUAAUACAUGCAAGUCGAGCGAACAGACGAGGAGCUUGCUCCUCUGACGUUAGCGGCGGACGGGUGAGUAACACGUGGAUAACCUACCUAUAAGACUGGGAUAACUUCGGGAAACCGGAGCUAAUACCGGAUAAUAUAUUGAACCGCAUGGUUCAAUAGUGAAAGACGGUUUUGCUGUCACUUAUAGAUGGAUCCGCGCCGCAUUAGCUAGUUGGUAAGGUAACGGCUUACCAAGGCAACGAUGCGUAGCCGACCUGAGAGGGUGAUCGGCCACACUGGAACUGAGACACGGUCCAGACUCCUACGGGAGGCAGCAGUAGGGAAUCUUACGCAAUGGGCGAAAGCCUGACGGAGCAACGCCGCGUGAGUGAUGAAGGUCUUCGGAUCGUAAAACUCUGUUAUUAGGGAAGAACAUAUGUGUAAGUAACUGUGCACAUCUUGACGGUACCUAAUCAGAAAGCCACGGCUAACUACGUG
rnacentral:rRNA from 1 species